UGGUCAUGGUGUCUGUUCACAGCAAUAGAAACCCUAACUAAGACAGGGGCCUAUCUUGUGGGUUAGCAGAUACCUAGGAACCAUUCUAACUUUGACCAAUGACAUUUGAUGCAAAUGACAAAGUGGGUAGCCUGCUCAGCCUGUUAUGCUCUUCAUUUCCUCAAGAAAAAUGCAUUAAGAUCCAUUUGCCAGAAGAGGUCACUCAAACACCACCUUUAGUUUUUCAUCUGUUGACUUGGGGCCUUUACACAUAGCACAUAGGAGCCCUUUGAUAAAUUCAUCGACUAUGUGAGGGGUGGGGAGGGUAUUCCACAGUAUGCAUGUGAAGGUCAGAGAACUAAUGAAGCUGUCCUUUCUCUCUAAUAUGUAGGGCCCAUGUAACUUAGUCAGGCUCACCAGCAAGUUGGAUGGGGGUGAGGUAUGGGGAGAAGUGGUCCCAAGGUCAUUGUGAAGUUAAAGAGGCCUGGAGAGGGGCCUGGGUCCAGGUUUAUUAUAAAGGCCUGGGCAAGGAUUCUGGAUGCCCAGGGUCCUACUCAGUGCCUUCCAGAGGCAGGGCUGCAACACCUGCUGAGCCACACCAAUGCCUCUGUGGUUUUUCAAAGCAUAGUAAUAGGGUGUUUCAAGGAUUCUAUUGUCUGUAUAUGGUAUGGAAUGGAACAAUUAAUUUUAUUUACCAAAGAUACUUUGAGGUUUGGUUAAAACUGCAGGAAGCAACGUUGGGAGUUCCAUCUCAGGACUACUUUGAAGUUUGACUCAUCUUCCUCCUUAAUUGCUGUGGUAUUUGGAGAAAACCCCUUAACCUCUGCCUGAUUUUCAUGCAGUUGUGGAUAUGAUCACAGUAUCCCCAUAAUGUCCAAAGGGUUAAUACAAAAACCUAUAGCAGCCUCACACUUUGCAAGCACAUCAGUGGAAAACAUACCAAAGGUGCAAAUCAAAGUUGUAGAUUUUUGAAAUCUGGUUUUAAUGGAUAGUGCCCUUCUAUGUAGCCUGUCCCAAACCUGCUGUGGCAUCCUCCUGAGCAAAGGGAUUACAGGCAUGCACCACCCGAAAAGCCAGAAAUGUGAGUUCUAGUGCCCUUUGUCCUUCCCUACCCCCUGUGCCGUGCUUUUAGAGAAUAUGGACUUGACUCCUCUAAGUUUCUUUAGAGAGAGAGGGUUUGUAUCAGGUUGUUGAAUGUGCCUCUAAACCAUUGUAAAGACCAGAGAAAUGGAGCUGCAGGUCCACUUGGACCAGUGAUUCUAAGGGUGGCUUCAGCAGGUUGUCUGCUGAUGAAUGCUCUGAAUUUCUGCCCCAAAUCACACACCCCAUUGCUCAGAGCUGCCUCCUAGAAACCAAGAGACAUUUUCCAUGAAUUCUACCUGAAGGCUUCUCUACCUUAGAAAGGACAAUAUCAGUAGCCCCAUGUGAGGCCUAGAGCCUGGAUCAGAAGAGAGCAGGCUGCCUGUCAAUCUUCCUGUGCCCAUCAUCAAAUGCUGGUGGCCCAGACCUUUGUUCUGAACUCUUUGCUCCUUCUCCAGGGUCUGUUUAAAUACAAUCAGAUAGUAUUAGAAAACUAAUCAAAAAAGCCCAAAUUCUCUCUAUUAUUUUUCAAAUAGCUUUCCCUAAACCAUAAUAAUUUCUGAAAAACCAAACAAGCAAACAAACACAAUGCUAUUAGCACAAUAACAAAAUAACCGAGACUGGUGGCAACUGGAGAACAAUUUCAUAUGGUCAUUUCAAACAAAGGGUUUUAAGGUUUUGGAUAUUUCAUUGUCUGCCCAAAGGCAAUUUUCAUAGUAUCUGUCACCAAAGGGUCUGGAUUUCAUCUCUUCUAUACUUCAAAUAGAAAAAGAAUAACAAAACCUAAACAUGACUUUCUAUUGAUAGCUACAAUAUCACAGAUAGUACCCAGAUGUAUCACUGUCUUCAGAGAACACAUUUUAAUGCAUUACAUAUUUAAAAAUAAAGCAUGGACUUAUUGCCUCGGUCUAGCAAGGCAUGAAAUGUUUUAAUAAUUAAAUAACAUACAAGAGUCAUUUUUGAGUAAGAAAUUUUCAUUUCUUAACCAUGGUUAUUCACACAGAAUCACCUUGUAAUAAAUCAAACUGCAUUUUGGGCUACCCAACAGACCCUGUUUCCAAAUCAAGACAAAAAAAUCAAACAAGAAACAAUUCUAUUGGCAUAAUAACAGAGAUUGCUAGACAGCAUGAGAGACUUCUACAGUCAUGUGUAGAAGAAACCCACUCUUUCUCUGCUGUGCUUAGGCACAUAUCCAAAGCAUUACAAUAUGAAAAACCCAAUGACACACUCAGGUUUUCUUAAAACUUUCUAGAAUAGGAUACAUGUUUUCAAAUGCUUCAUAGAUCUCUGAACGCUCUUUGGCACCUAUAAAGAAAUCCAAGUGUAUAUAAAUUUUAACAUAAGAACAACAACAAAAACAGUUUCAAUGCUAAAAUUUCAUUUCACCAUAUUCAAUUGCUGUUUUUUUUUGGGGGGGGGGAACAUGGUCUCUAGAUAAACAGCCCAGGGUGACCUCAGUAUAAAUCCAUCUGUAUCUGCCUCCCCAGUGCUGGGAUUACAAGGAUGUGGAGUUUUGUGAUGGUCUCUAGAUAAUACCUCUUCUGUUCAUGGUAGAUGGCAUUUCUUUCUAAUAAAGACAAGAAAUGGAGGAGGAGCACUAUAACCAUAGUAUUCCCAAAACACAUUCAUAGGGCAAAGAUUCCUUUAGAAUUUCCUCUCUGUGGAUGUUGUCUUUGGUAAUACAAGGCUCAGUAAAAACAUAGAUGGAAUGCUCUGCUAGCGUGCUACAACAUGACAGAGUUACAUUCCCAGCACCUGUGAACUACUAGCAAAAAUGACUUCCUGGGAUCCACUCAUUCUGGUUAGUGUCUUGUCUUCAUAGUAUCAGACAAGCUAGAGUCAUUCUAAGAGUUUCCAACUUUUGACACAUAGGAUAUAAUUAGAGGGAAAAUUUAUUUCACUUUUAGACUUUUAGGUGUCAGCAACUGUUAACUAUUAGGAUAUGACUACAUGCACUUGGAGCACUAAAAACAGAUUAGACACUCUCCCUUGAGAAAUAUGAGUCAGUUCCCACUUGUCUCUCACCAACAACCAUCCGUCACCACCCUCUCCACCUUCAAAAGUUGAUAGGGAACAACCCAAUGCAUGUCAUGGACUGGUUCUUCCUAUGUGUGACUGGGGCUUCAGCUAAACAGGAAUUUGCAUCUGACAUAUUUGUGGGCAGAAACAAUAAAAAUGGUAAGCACCAGGUGUGGUGACUCAUGCCUAUAGCCUGUCACUUGUCAUAAGUUCAAGGCCCUCCUGAGCUACACAGCUGACCCUGUUUCAAAAACAACAACCUGUUAUUAUGUGAAUAACUUGGAAUUUCUGAAGUCAUAGACCCCUUCCUUCAGAGAUGCAGGGCUUACAAGGAAAAAAGAAAGAAACCUAAGAGUGAUUAUUUGGCUUAGCUCCAGGCCCAAUGAGGAAGAAGAUGCAAAAAGAGGAUUGAUCAGAAUUCAGAUCAGGGUUGAGCUGUAAUGUUUUUACUAAAGAAAAAAACAACUGAAAGAUGUGGAAGUUCAGUAACCUCUGAACUGCUAGAGGGACUGUAACCUGGGGUUCAGCCCCCAAGUUGGGUGUUCCUCAAAAGCUAAGGGAUCAGCAUACAACCCAGCAAUUCCACUCAAGUAAACCCCUCAACAAAACCAAAAGCAGAAAUACAGUGAAGACUGGAAUUGCAACAGCAGUUAUAACAAAAAGAGAAGCAACCUCUGUGGCCAUCAAUGAAGAAAAAUCUCAAUGCAUGUUCACAAGAGAGUAUAUUCAGCCAUAAACAGUGUAAAAUUUGGACAUGCCUCAACAGUUGAAACAAAUCCAGGCACACACACACCCCAAAAAGGUAGGAAUGGUUACAGUUAGAUGAAAUAUCCAAAAUAGGCAAAUCCAUGAAGACAACAGACACUGGUGGCUGAUGGAGAACAUGGAAAAUUGCUCAGUGAUAUAGAGACUUAUUUGGAGCCAUGGAAUGUUUUAGUACUGGAGGUAGUGGUAUCAUCACAUUGCAUUGCAGACACUAAAUGUAUUAAAAAACCCACUUUCAAGUGGUUAAGUUUGUUAAAUAAAUUACAUUUUAAAAAAUCUUAAAGAAGUAAGAAGGAAGUUCUUGUAAGUCUAGUUUACUUUUUGGCUGUUAACGGCAAAUUAUUGAUUGAUUGAUUGAUUGAUUGAUUUAUUCCUUGCUAAGGAGUUUGAAUUUUGUAGGUCUGCAUCCUGAAAGAUGGAAGAGGGAGGAAGAAGGUGAAUUACUCAGAGAUAAGAGAAACUCUGUACCUUGGGGGUGGAAAAUCCAUCCAAGUCUUAUCAGAGUUAGAAUAUUAAAGUUUCCCUUUCCAAAGAGAUCAGUUUUAUGUAAACCAAACAGUGAGAUGGGGACACCAAAAAGUACAAGGUUACUGACAAAGAACUUGCCUCUGGCUUGUGAACACUUGUAUCUGGAAUAGGCUUUUUUUGCCAUCAGAGAAUGGCAUGCACUAGGUGAGGCAGGCAUGCACACCACAGAAAACUCCAGGGUAGACAUUCUUUUCACAGUUCCUUGAGGAACAGGGCAUCCAGGUUCGGCAUUUGGGAUAAACACUGAUUUGCUUUUUCCAUAAGGCUUUACAUAAAAUACUGUACCUAUGAACACUGUGCUCAAACAUGAACACACCACCUGGAGACCCCGGGGAAGCAGAAAUACAGCCAGUAUUUUACUUUAGCAACAAUGGUUGCUGACACAAUAGAGUGUACAGUCCCCUUGUUUCAUAAAUGAAGGAAAAGAGGCCCAAGAAAUUACCUAAAUCAUAAAACAGCAAUGAAGGAGACAUGCAGCCAGCAUUUCUUCCUUUACACCAGAAACCACCAACCAAAUAUCACCUGUGCUCACUCCUAUGUAUUAAAACUAGAGUUUGUCCAAUUAAUACUAGAUGUGGUGCUGGCAAUCAGACCCAGUGCCUUUUACAUUCUAAGCAAACCCUUUUCCCUCUGACUGAGUCCCAGACUUCAUCUGACAUUUCCUCACUAAAGUAUGAGCAUCAAAGGAAAACUUAGUCUCAUAGUCUAAUUAACAAUUAAUAAUGAAAGCCUCUACCUUAUAGCAGCAUCGGCACCAACUGGGUGACCCCAGCAUUUUGAGGAAAGCUUACCAUGCCUUUUUGUGUGCUGCAAUGACUGCCCCUUUGGGAUACACACCAUUACCAACCCUGGUGGCAAGAUGUGGCUUCAUACACUGAGAAAGGACCAGCUUGAAACUGAGUAAGAGCCCAAACAGCAGCUGUACCACUAUCUAAUAAGCAUCUCUCCAGACCGCCAAGUUUCAGGUUCCUUGCCAGAAAGACAGAAACCCCUAUCACAGAGUAAGAAGGGAGUUAUGUACACUAACAUUUGUGUGAAGUCCUUUGAAAACAACAUCAUUUCACAAAAACCUAGGCCACUUUAUUGUCUUUGAAGAUUAUAUGGCAGGAUCAGGGACACUGGAUAGUUGGUCUAAGUACAUAUGGCUUAUCUUCUGGUUCAAUGAGAUCCAGUAAAAUAUAUAAUUCUACCAUCUGUCUCCACAGGGCAAGAUUGCUUCCAGAUAGGUACUAUCAUCCUAACAACAGUACACACACCUGAGAAUCUGCACCAAUCCCUGCCUCAGGAACUCUGUGCAACUUUAUUAAGAAGCCUCCUUGAAGAGUUUGAAGCAGCAAGUUAAGCUUCGUGCACAAUAAUGGUCAAUAUAACACAGGAUGGCAAGAUGAAAAUGAACAUCAAGUAAUAUGACACCUGAAAAUGUAUCAUUUUAAGGAUUGAGAUCAUUGAAUGAGAUCAUUUCCCCUUUACUUUUUUCCACAGUACAGCAAAAAUUACCUUGUUAUGGAGGAAAAGCCAUUCAGAAGGACAAGCAAAGCAUACACAACGCUUUUUAUCUUGAAUUAGUUCGCUCAGACUUGCUAGAAAAUAUAUGCUGGAUCUUCAUGAAGUAAAAGACAGAACCUAAGAAUUCUGUCUCCACAUUCCAUCCCAGAGAAGGGUGCAGAGCCAUGGAAAUGACUGAGAUGUCUCCCCCAGAGAAGUUGGGAAGAUGUCAGCCUCACCCCUUCACAUCUACUGCCAUCUCCAAAGCCACUUGGACCAAUUUUAUAACCCUAAUAGAUUAGUAGUCCUGAAUACAGACUUUCUGCACCAACUAGUCCUGAAUACAGACUUUCUGCACCAACGCUGAGUAUGAACUUUGCAGAGUUGCAAGAAGUCAAGUCUCUUCUGGUGGAGCUGCCCAAUCAGAGAUGUGGGCUAAAGUUGCCCAAGUGAUAACUACACAAUUUCACUGUGAGAACCACUAUUUCAAGACCCUGGCCCAUAAGGUAACUUUUGAGGACUGAGGCACAGCAUCUUAAUCCAUUCAUCUACCCUGCCCCUCCUCUAAUCUUUUGAGAGCCUAGUUCGGUCCCACGGAAGCUCUACGGCUAACAGCCUGAAUCUUAUAACUGCUACCGCUUAGCAAGUGUGAGGUUAAGCUUGAAAGCCAUCGUACCUACUGAACUGCCGGUGGGUUAGUGCCAAAAUCUCCAGCCUGAUGGGAAACUUCACAUCGCAGCUUCCCACCAUGUUCUGAAUUUUAAAGUUGAAGAAUUUGACAGGGAACCCCAGCUUCUGCACCACUCGGGCGUACUUUCUCGCUGCCAGUCGAGACUCCUCUUCACUGGGGAUAUGCAAACGUAAUUAAGGACACUUUUCUAUUGUUUUGUGGCAUAAGGUCUGGCUCUAUAGGCCAGGCUAGUAGGUAACUUGUGCAAUCUUACUGCUUCAGUCUCCCAAGUGCUGGGAUUACAUGCAUGCAUCACCACUCCUUGUUAAUUAACCGCAUCUACUAUUAAUAAACCUGGCUGAUUAGGCAUCUUAUUCACCCUGUCUCUUUUACUAUAUGUGUUGUAUUUGUAGCCCAUGCUUCAGAACAUCUCUCUACUACAUGUCCUAUGUCCAUCUUUCAAUGUACCUAUAUGACUGGGCUGGGGUGUGGCUCAGUGACAGAGCACUUCCCUAACAUGGUAAGACUCUGGAUUUGGUUCCCAGAGUCACAAGAAUAAAAUAAAAGUAAGUGAAGCUCCAUGAGAAGGAUCUCCCUCCCGUACCUUUGUCCAUAGUGUCUUGUUAAAUGUCUGGUACAAUUAGUUGUUGAACUGAUCCAAACUCAUUACUUUGAUUGGCCAUCUCAUCUAUAACAUACUUUCACUUGUUUUAAAUGUUUGAAAACUAAACUCUGCACUAUUUCUCAAAGUGUGUCCUCAGACCUAGAAUCUUGUUAGAGGGGCCAUGGCUCAGGUGUGACCUCUGACACAUAGACUCUCUUGUCUGGGGACCAGCAAAUUGCUGUCUAUCGUCAUCUAAGUGCUUCUGGUACUCACUACAGCCUGCAGACUUCCCUGGUCUUAAAGUGUGUGAGCCAUUUGUAUAGGAGCAAAAGUUUAGUACAAAGACAUGCGGGGGGAAAAAUAGAUAAAUAACCAACACAAGGAAGACAGAUAUAUGCCAAGUGAGUAGCAUAGACUUAGGUCUUUAUGAGAUGAAUUGUCAAAAACAAAUUUAAAUUCCUUAAAACUUGCCCAAUUUUUCACGGCUUUCUCACCCAGAUGCUAUGAGGCUCACACUCAGCAUGAGGGGAAAUGUAUCCAAAUUUGCAGCUACAUUCUUCAAACGGUCAACCCCAAAUCUGUGUCAGAGAAUGUGAUGUCCUGAGAGUUGGGCCUGUAGUUUUCAUCUGACAUUGUUCACCUCCCCAAACAACAGUGAGCAGCAAGGGUUGCUGGAAUGGGGGCACUGUGAGCCGAUUCUGUGAGCAUAGGUCUCACAGAUGUACCCAUAUUUAAGUUGUAAACCAGCAGUUCCUAAAAGGAAAGCCACUUUUACUCAGCUUGCCUGAAUAAGCGAAGUAUGAGUUCUUUUCUCUAGGUCUCCCACUGUCCUCUUAUGUGAAUUGGGCCAUGCCCUUUACUUCAAUCAUCCUUGGUUUCCCCCACCCACUUCCAACUCCUGACAUGGCUUAGCAAGACUAUUCCCCAAGUUAGCAAUUGAAUUAAGGCAUUUAAUAAAGGAAGGCUGUUUCACUGUAAAUUUCACAUAUGGGUUCCUAUUUUAACCACAGCUCAAGGUAUACACAUAUUCAUAGUGCAAACAUUAGAGAAUAGAUUUAAAACCCUAAAGUUUUAUCACAGGUGGUAAAAAUUAUUUGAAUUUUGCCUUCUGUACAUAUCCCUAAUCAAACAUGUAUCCUUCAUCCUUAUUACAGAAAAUAGGUUUUCAUAGAGUUUGGACAGUUUGCUCUCUCUUGUAUAA